CCCUCCCUCUGUCGGCAGGCUUAACACAUGCAAGUCGAACGCCCCGCAAGGGGAGUGGCAGACGGGUGAGUAACGCGUGGGAACAUACCCUUUUCUACGGAAUAGCUCUGGGAAACUGGAGUUAAUACCGUAUACGCCCUACGGGGGAAAGAUUUAUCGGGGAAGGAUUGGCCCGCGUUGGAUUAGCUAGUUGGUGGGGUAAAGGCCUACCAAGGCGACGAUCCAUAGCUGGUCUGAGAGAAUGAUCAGCCACAUUGGGACUGAGACACGGCCCAAACUCCUACGGGAGGCAGCAGUGGGGAAUAUUGGACAAUGGGCGCAAGCCUGAUCCAGCCAUGCCGCGUGAGUGAUGAAGGCCUUAGGGUUGUAAAGCUCUUUCACCGAUGAAGAUAAUGACGGUAGUCGGAGAAGAAGCCCCGGCUAACUUCGUG
rnacentral:rRNA from 1 species